rnacentral:rRNA from 1 species
UACGGGGGGGGCAAGCGUUGUUCGGAAUUACUGGGCGUAAAGGGCUCGUAGGCGGCCAACUAAGUCAGACGUGAAAUCCCUCGGCUUAACCGGGGAACUGCGUCUGAUACUGGAUGGCUUGAGUUCGGGAGAGGGAUGUGGAAUUCCAGGUGUAGCGGUGAAAUGCGUAGAUAUCUGGAGGAACACCGGUGGCGAAGGCGGCUACUCUGGGCCUUACCUGACGCUGAGGAGCGAAAGCGUGGGUAGCGAACAGG